rnacentral:tRNA from 1 species
GCCGCCUUAGCUCAGCGGUAGAGCACGGCUUUCGUAAAGCCGGGGUCCAGGGUUCAAAUCCCUGAGGCGGCUC